GACGAACGCUGGCGGCGUGCCUAAUACAUGCAAGUAGAACGCUGAAGCUUGGUGCUUGCACCGAGCGGAUGAGUUGCGAACGGGUGAGUAACGCGUAGGUAACCUGCCUGGUAGCGGGGGAUAACUAUUGGAAACGAUAGCUAAUACCGCAUAAGAGUAGAUGUUGCAUGACAUUUGCUUAAAAGGUGCAAUUGCAUCACUACCAGAUGGACCUGCGUUGUAUUAGCUAGUUGGUGAGGUAACGGCUCACCAAGGCAACGAUACAUAGCCGACCUGAGAGGGGGAGGGGCCACCGUGGGACGGAGACAGGGCCCAACGCCCUGGGGGGGGAGGCAGGAGGGAUGUUUGGGAAAUGGCGGGAAGUCUGACCGAGAAACGCCGGGGGGGGGAAGAGGGUUGUGGGGUCGAAAGGUUUGUUUUAAGGGGAAGAACGAGGGGGGGAGGGGAAAGUUCACACUGGGAGGGUAGCUAAAAAGAAAGGGACGGCAAACUACGUG
rnacentral:rRNA from 1 species